rnacentral:rRNA from 1 species
CAUAAGAGCUUGCUCUUGAUGACGAGUGGCGCACGGGUGAGUAACGCGUAUGCAAUCUACCUAUAACUGAGGAAUAGCCCAGAGAAAUUUGGAUUAAUACUUCAUAAUAUUAUUAUUUGGCAUCAUUUAAUAAUUAAAACUCCGGUGGUUAUAGAUGAGCAUGCGUUCUAUUAGCUAGUUGGUGAGGUAAGAGCUCACCAAGGCUACGAUAGAUAGGGGGCCUGAAAGGGUGAUCCCCCACACUGGUACUGAGACACGGACCAGACUCCUACGGGAGGCAGCAGUGAGGAAUAUUGCACAAUGGAGGAAACUCUGAUGCAGCCAUGCCGCGUGCAGGAUGAAGGCCCUAUGGGUUGUAAACUGCUUUUUUACAAGAAGAAACCUUGGUACGUGUACCAACUUGACGGUAUUGUAAGAAUAAGCACCGGCUAACUCCGUGCCAGCAGCCGCGGUAAUACGGAGGGUGCAAGCGUUAUCCGGAUUUAUUAGGUUUAAAGGGUUCGCAGGCGGAAUUUUAAGUCAGUGGUGAAAGCCUACAGCUCAACUGUAGAACUGCCAUUGAAACUGAUAUUCUUGAGUAUAGAUGAA